UGGAAGCGUCUGGAAAGGCGCGCGAUACAGGGUGACAGCCCCGUACACAAAAAUGCACAUGCUGUGAGCUCGAUGAGUAGGGCGGGACACGUGGUAUCCUGUCUGAAUAUGGGGGGACCAUCCUCCAAGGCUAAAUACUCCUGACUGACCGAUAGUGAACCAGUACCGUGAGGGAAAGGCGAAAAGAACCCCGGCGAGGGGAGUGAAAAAGAACCUGAAACCGUGUACGUACAAGCAGUGGGAGCACGCUUAGGCGUGUGACUGCGUACCUUUUGUAUAAUGGGUCAGCGACUUAUAUUCUGUAGCAAGGUUAACCGAAUAGGGGAGCCGAAGGGAAACCGAGUCUUAACUGGGCGUUAAGUUGCAGGGUAUAGACCCGAAACCCGGUGAUCUAGCCAUGGGCAGGUUGAAGGUUGGGUAACACUAACUGGAGGACCGAACCGACUAAUGUUGAAAAAUUAGCGGAUGACUUGUGGCUGGGGGUGAAAGGCCAAUCAAACCGGGAGAUAGCUGGUUCUCCCCGAAAGCUAUUUAGGUAGCGCCUCGUGAAUUCAUCUCCGGGGGUAGAGCACUGUUUCGGCAAGGGGGUCAUCCCGACUUACCAACCCGAUGCAAACUGCGAAUACCGGAGAAUGUUAUCACGGGAGACACACGG
rnacentral:rRNA from 1 species